rnacentral:rRNA from 1 species
GAUGAACGCUGGCGGCGUGCCUAAUACAUGCAAGUCGAGCGAACAGACGAGGAGCUUGCUCCUCUGACGUUAGCGGCGGACGGGUGAGUAACACGUGGAUAACCUACCUAUAAGACUGGGAUAACUUCGGGAAACCGGAGCUAAUACCGGAUAAUAUAUUGAACCGCAUGGUUCAAUAGUGAAAGACAGUUUUGCUGUCACUUAUAGAUGGAUCCGCGCCGCAUUAGCUAGUUGGUAAGGUAACGGCUUACCAAGGCAACGAUGCGUAGUCGACCUGAGAGGGUGAUCGGCCACACUGGAACUGAGACACGGUCCAGACUCCUACGGGAGGCAGCAGUAGGGAAUCUUCCGCAAUGGGCGAAAGCCUGACGGAGCAACGCCGCGUGAGUGAUGAAGGUCUUCGGAUCGUAAAACUCUGUUAUUAGGGAAGAACAAAUGUGUAAGUAACUAUGCACGUCUUGACGGUACCUAAUCAGAAAGCCACGGCUAACUACGUG